GUGGGGAAUAUUGGGCAAUGGGCGAAAGCCUGACCCAGCAACGCCGCGUGAAGGAAGAAGGCUUUCGGGUUGUAAACUUCUUUUGUCAGGGACGAAAAAAAUGACGGUACCUGACGAAUAAGCCACGGCUAACUACGUGCCAGCAGCCGCGGUAAUACGUAGGUGGCAAGCGUUAUCCGGAUUUACUGGGUGUAAAGGGCGUGUAGGCGGGAAAGCAAGUCAGAUGUGAAAACUAUGGGCUCAACCCAUAGCCUGCAUUUGAAACUGUUUUUCUUGAGUACUGGAGAGGCAGAUGGAAUUCCUAGUGUAGCGGUGAAAUGCGUAGAUAUUAGGAUGAACACCAGUGGCGAAGGCGAUCUGCUGGACAGCAACUGACGCUGAGGCGCGAAAGCGUGGGGAGCAAACAGGAUUAGAUACCCCGGUAGUCC
rnacentral:rRNA from 1 species